rnacentral:tRNA from 1 species
AGGGGCUUAGGCUAAUAUCUCAGACCAAGGGCCUUCAAAGCCCUCAGUGGGAGUGAGAAUCUCCCAGCCCCUG